AGAGUUUGAUCCUGGCUCAGGAUGAACGCUGGCGGCGUGCCUAAUACAUGCAAGUCGAACGCUUCACUUCGGUGAAGAGUGGCGAACGGGUGAGUAAUACAUAAGUAACCUGGCAUCUACAGGGGGAUAACUGAUGGAAACGUCAGCUAAGACCGCAUAGGUGUAGAGAUCGCAUGAACUCUAUAUGAAAAGUGCUACGGGACUGGUAGAUGAUGGACUUAUGGCGCAUUAGCUAGUUGGUAGGGUAACGGCCUACCAAGGCGACGAUGCGUAGCCGACCUGAGAGGGUGACCGGCCACACUGGGACUGAGACACGGCCCAGACUCCUACGGGAGGCAGCAGUAGGGAAUUUUCGGCAAUGGGGGAAACCCUGACCGAGCAACGCCGCGUGAAGGAAGAAGUAAUUCGUUAUGUAAACUUCUGUCAUAGAGGAAGAACGGUGGAUAUAGGGAAUGAUAUCCAAGUGACGGUACUCUAUAAGAAAGCCACGGCUAACUACGUGCCAGCAGCCGCGGUAAUACGUAGGUGGCGAGCGUUAUCCGGAAUUAUUGGGCGUAAAGAGGGAGCAGGCGGCACUAAGGGUCUGUGGUGAAAGAUCGAAGCUUAACUUCGGUAAGCCAUGGAAACCGUAGAGCUAGAGUGUGUGAGAGGAUCGUGGAAUUCCAUGUGUAGCGGUGAAAUGCGUAGAUAUACGGAGGAACACCAGUGGCGAAGGCGACGAUCUGGCGCAUAACUGACGCUCAGUCCCGAAAGCGUGGGGAGCAAAUAGGAUUAGAUACCCUAGUAGUCCACGCCGUAAACGAUGAGUACUAAGUGUUGGGAGUCAAAUCUCAGUGCUGCAGUUAACGCAAUAAGUACUCCGCCUGAGU
rnacentral:rRNA from 1 species